GCAAUCUGCCCUUCACUCUGGGACAAGCCCUGGAAACGGGGUCUAAUACCGGAUAACACUCCUGUCCUCCUGGACGGGGGUUAAAAGCUCCGGCGGUGAAGGAUGAGCCCGCGGCCUAUCAGCUUGUUGGUGAGGUAAUGGCUCACCAAGGCGACGACGGGUAGCCGGCCUGAGAGGGCGACCGGCCACACUGGGACUGAGACACGGCCCAGACUCCUACGGGAGGCAGCAGUGGGGAAUAUUGCACAAUGGGCGAAAGCCUGAUGCAGCGACGCCGCGUGAGGGAUGACGGCCUUCGGGUUGUAAACCUCUUUCAGCAGGGAAGAAGCGAAAGUGACGGUACCUGCAGAAGAAGCGCCGGCUAACUACGUGCCAGCAGCCGCGGUAAUACGUAGGGCGCAAGCGUUGUCCGGAAUUAUUGGGCGUAAAGAGCUCGUAGGCGGCUUGUCACGUCGGGUGUGAAAGCCCGGGGCUUAACCCCGGGUCUGCAUUCGAUACGGGCUAGCUAGAGUGUGGUAGGGGAGAUCGGAAUUCCUGGUGUAGCGGUGAAAUGCGCAGAUAUCAGGAGGAACACCGGUGGCGAAGGCGGAUCUCUGGGCCAUUACUGACGCUGAGGAGCGAAAGCGUGGGGAGCGAACAGGAU
rnacentral:rRNA from 1 species